rnacentral:vault_RNA from 1 species
GCGUCGGUUUAGCUCAAUGGUUACUUCUUACAAGCAAACGUUUCUACUCUACUGGACCGCGGACCAGGAGUUCGACCAUGGGCACUGUCCGAUGUUUUG